rnacentral:rRNA from 1 species
AUGGUAGUAGUACUAGUAGAAUUGAGAUUGAAUGCACUUUCUUCCCCGUCUUCCACUCUUCUUCCUCCUCUCUUCCCCAUCGUCGGCCGCACACCAUUUACCCCCGCUCACUGCUCGCCCGCUCGCGCCAUCUUCCUUGGUAGCUCGCGCCAGACGCAAAUGCGCUGGCCUUCAUUAUUCCAGGACCUGGAAUCAUACCGGCCGAUGGUACCAUAUAACUGGAAUUACCGAUGCAAGUCGAAGAAGGAUUGGCCGGUGCUGCCGGCUAGCGUCAAGUUCGAUCCCACGGAUCAGGAGCUGAUCGAGCACCUUGAGGCCAAAGUGAGUGCUGACAGCGCGAGAUUUCAGUCUCUCAUCGAUUUGUUCAUACCAACCAUCGACAGUGAGCACGGCAUAUGCUACACCCAACCUGAGAAACUUCCAGCGCAAUUCCAGGGCCUUCAAAAGGGGCACGUGGACGCGUCGCAAGAUACAGUCGGAGUGCGGCAUGCACGUGAUGUGGCACAAGGCCGGCAAUACCUUGCCGGUGAUGGUCAACGGCCGGCAAGAUGGGCAGCAAAAAAGGUUCUGGUGCUGCACACCAACAAGAACUUCGACCAGCAGAGGACCAACUGGGUGAUGCACCAGUACCACCUCGGGGACCUGGAGCAAGAGAAGGAGCGGGAGCUAGUCCUCUGCAAGAUUUUCUACCAGACGAACACUAGGGCCAGGAGUCGAGCAAGUUUCAACUGGGCUGUAGACUGCCCAGGGUUGGUUUUGUUUUUAACAGGCCCAGCCCAUGACGACAACGGGGCACAAAGAUCCAGCAGGUAG